GAUGAAGAACGCAGUGAAAUGCGAUACGUAAUGUGAAUUGCAGAAUUCCGUGAAUCAUCGAGUCUUUGAACGCACAUUGCGCCUCAUCUCAUUCCGUGAGGUAUGUACAUCUCAGCAUUAGAAAAUAUUCUCAAAUUUUAGUUUUGUGCUAAAAUUUGCAUUAUAUCAAGGAAGCUAUUACUAUUAUUGUGAUCACUCUUUGGAAAUUGAUAGGUCUUUGAGUUGCUACUCAUAGAACAUGAUGAAUCUUUCUUCGUUCUAUUGUAAUUCACUCUAGUAGUCCUACAACUUGUAUGCCUGUGGCAUAUCUUGUAAUUGAACCUGAGAUUGGGUAUGGAUAUCCGCUGAACUUAAGCAUAUCAAUAAGCGGAGGA
rnacentral:misc_RNA from 1 species